UUUUAUGUUCCUUCAUUUCUUUUUGAAUUUUCUUGAGUAAUAGAAGAAUCAAACAAGAAAAUUCAAAAAGAAAUGAAGGAACAUAAAA